rnacentral:rRNA from 1 species
GAUGAACGCUGACAGAAUGCUUAACACAUUCAAGUCAACUGUGGCGGACGGUUGAGUAACGCGUACAGAACUUUCCUCUCAGAUAGGGACCAAAUUUGGAAACGAAUGCUACUACCUGCUACUGUGAGAGAGCUUUGCGACCCAUUAGCUAGUUGGAGAGGUAACGGCUCACCAAGGCGAUGAUGGGUAGCCGGCCUGAGAGGGUGAUCUGCCACAAGGGGACUGAGACACGUCCCGUACUCCUACGGGAGGCAGCAGUGGGGAAUAUGGGACAAUUGACCAAAGUCUGAUCCAGCAAUUCUGUGUGCACGAUGAAGUUUUCGGAAUGUAAAGUGCUUUCAGUUGGGAAGCAGUACCAACAGAAGAAGUGACGGCUAAAUACGUGCCAGCAGCCGCGGUAAUUC